GACGUAGGGCGCGAGCGUUGUCCGGAUUUAUUGGGCGUAAAGAGCUCGUAGGCGGUUUGUCGCGUCGACUGUGAAAACCUACAGCUUAACUGUGGGCUUGCAGUCGAUACGGGCAGACUUGAGUUCGGUAGGGGAGACUGGAAUUCCUGGUGUAGCGGUGAAAUGCGCAGAUAUCAGGAGGAACACCGGUGGCGAAGGCGGUUGCCUGGGGCUUUGCUGACGCUGAUGCGCGAAAGCGUGGGGAGCGAUCCGG
rnacentral:rRNA from 1 species